rnacentral:rRNA from 1 species
GACGAACGCUGGCGGCGUGCUUAACACAUGCAAGUCGAACGGAAAGGCCCUGCUUUUGUGGGGUGCUCGAGUGGCGAACGGGUGAGUAACACGUGGGUAACCUGUCCCUGACUUUGGGAUAACUUCAGGAAACUGGGGCUAAUAGCGGAUAGGAGCUCCUGCUGCAUGGUGGGGGUUGGAAAGUUUCGGCGGUUGGGGAUGGACUAGCGGCUUAUCAGCUUGUUGGUGGGGUAGUGGCUUACCAAGGCUUUGACGGGUAGCCGGCCUGAGAGGUGGACCGGCCACAUUGGGACUGAGAUACGGCCCAGACUCCUACGGGAGGCAGAGGUGGAGAAUAUUGCACAAUGGGCGGAAGCCUGAUGCAGCAACGCCGCGUGCGGGAUGACGGGCUUCGGGUUGUGAACCGCUUUCGCCUGAGACGAAGCGUGAGUGACGGUAAUGGGUAAAGAAGCACCGGCUAACUACGUG